UGAUACCAUGGCAGCGCCUUCUCGUGGCGGUAUCGUAAGUACGCUUUAAAAGCGGAAACUAAGCUGUG
rnacentral:ribozyme from 1 species